AAUCAACGCUGGCGGCGUGCCUAACACAUGCAAGUCGAACGCGAAAGCCCGCAAGGGUAAGUAGAGUGGCGCACGGGUGAGUAACACGUGGACAACCUGCCUUCGAGUGGGGAAUAACCUUCCGAAAGGAGGGCUAAUACCGCAUAACACCUCGGGACACAAGUUCUGGGGUUGAAAAGAGCAAUUUGCUCGAAGAGGGGUCCGCGCCUGAUUAGCUAGUUGGUGAGGUAACGGCUCACCAAGGCUUCGAUCAGUAGCCGUCCUGAGAGGGAGCACGGCCACACUGGAACUGAGACACGGUCCAGACUCCUACGGGAGGCAGCAGUGGGGAAUUUUUGGCAAUGGGCGAAAGCCUGACCAAGCAACGCCGCGUGGGUGAUGAAGUAUCUUGGUACCGUAAAACCCUUUCGGCAGGGACGAACCUAAUGACGGUACCUGCGGAAGAACGCCCCGGCUAACUCCGUGCCAGCCGCCGCGGUAAU
rnacentral:rRNA from 1 species